CCGCGUGAGUGAUGAAGGCUCUUCGGGUCGUAAAACUCUGUUGUUAGGGAAGAACAAGUGCUAAUUGAAUAAGAUGGCACCUUGACAGUACCUAACCACAAAACCACGGCUAACUACGUGCCAGCAGCCGCGGUAAUA
rnacentral:rRNA from 1 species